rnacentral:rRNA from 1 species
GAUGAACGCUGGCGGCGUGCUUAACACAUGCAAGUCGAACGAAGCAUUUAGGACAGAUUGCUUCGGUUUGAAGUUCUUUAUGACUGAGUGGCGGACGGGUGAGUAACGCGUGGGUAACCUGCCUUGUACUGGGGGAUAGCAGCUGGAAACGGCUGGUAAUACCGCAUAAGCGCACAAUGUUGCAUGACAUGGUGUGAAAAACUCCGGUGGUAUAAGAUGUACCCGCGUCUGAUUAGCUAGUUGGUGAGAUAGCAGCCCACCAAGGCGACGAUCAGUAGCCGACAUGAGAGGGUGACCGGACACAUUGGGACUGAGACACGGCCCAGACUCCUACGGGAGGCAGCAGUGGGGAAUAUUGCACAAUGGAGGAAACUCUGAUGCAGCGACGCCGCGUGAGUGAAGAAGUAAUUCGUUAUGUAAAGCUCUAUCAGCAGGGAAGAUAGUGACGGUACCUGACUAAGAAGCUCCGGCUAAAUACGUG